AAAAUACUCCUUCUGUCCCAAAAUUCUUGUCUUAAAUUUGUCUAGAUAUGAAUGUAUCUAGUCAUGUUUUAGUAUUUAGAUACAUCCAUUUCUAAACAAAUCUAAGACAAGAAUUUUGGGACAGAGGAGUAUAUG
rnacentral:pre_miRNA from 1 species